CCCCAGCCACACUGAAGGGUCAGAGCUCACCACUGAGGUGCAAAGUGGCUUUCUCUGGUGCGCUGAGUACAGCUUUAAGAACCCAUGUCAGUAAUUUGUCACCUUGAGUUCUUUCCAGCUGCUUGAACAUGACAGCAUCUACCAUGAAUAAACACAAGGAAAGUGUAGGGGAAUAAAGAUGAAGAAUUAGUUGUAUUUCUGAUUUGAAGAAACUCAUCAUUUAGAAGGGAAAGGGAAUGAAACCCAACAGCUAUAAUUCAAUGAAAAUGCAAUAAUACAGGCAUGCACGAGUGCUUUGGGAACCAGGAAAGAGACUUUGAUUCUGACUCGGAGAGCUGGAAAAGGAUAUCUGAACUGCACGUGCUGAUAUGAGGAUGGAGAAAGUGGAUGCGUCUCUCAACACAGUGUGACCCACACAUGUGGGUUUUCCUAUUUGCUGUAAAG